CCUACGGGUGGCAGCAGUGAGGAAUAUUGGUCAAUGGACGGAAGUCUGAACCAGCCAUGUCGCGUGCAGGAAGACGGCUCUAUGAGUUGUAAACUGCUUUUGUACAAGGGUAAACCUGAAUACGUGUAUUCAGCUGAAAGUACUGUACGAAUAAGGAUCGGCUAACUCCGUGCCAGAAGCCGCGGUAAUACGGAGGAUCCAAGCGUUAUCCGGAUUGAUUGGGUUUAAAGGGUGCGUAGGCGGAUUGAUAAGUUAGAGGUGAAAUGUCCGAGCUUAACUCGGGAACUGCCUCUAAUACUGUUUAUCUAGAGAGUAGAUGCGGUAGGCGGAAUGUAUGGUGUAGCGGUGAGAUGCUUAGAGAUCAUACAGAACACCGAUUGCGAAGGCAGCUUACCAAUCUAUAUCUGACGUUGAGGCACGAAAGCGUGGGGAGCAAACAGGAUUAGAUACCCUUGUAGUC
rnacentral:rRNA from 1 species